UUACGACCAUAGCACAUUGAAACACCGGUUCCCGUACAAUCACCGAAGUUAAGCAACGUCGAACCUAGUCAGAUGGAUGGGAGCUCGCUUGGGAAUACUAGGUGCUGUAA